CUGAGAGGGAGAGCCUGAACAAAAGAGAAGGCAGGCUGAAAAGUUCCACACUGAACACAUUCCUACAAAUGUGGCUAGAGAACAUGGUCUAGCUAAACUUCACCUUUAGGCUACCCGUGGAGGCAAGUGGGAUGUGGCUUGAAUAUCAAUAUUGGCUCGCACACAGAUUGCAUCCUCCGAACAGAGGCUCCGGAUGGCUCACCAGGCUGGCUGUGGGCUCUCCUGGCGAGGCUCGUUCUGUCUUUAAGAGGGCUCAUUCAUUUUGCAUGACAGCUCAACUUUUAAUGUAGAUCUCAUUUCAGUGUUAUCCCUACAUCAUCCUACCAUGUAAAAUAAAGUAUCUGCAUGUGCUUGAACUCGGAAUGUUUUAUAGCGUCAUGUCAGAAGUUUAUUCUUAGUUGAAUGCUUAUUCUCUCGGCAUGUGAGAUGCAUUUAUC
rnacentral:lncRNA from 1 species